GCCGAGGUCCUCUUCUAGGAUUGGUUGUCCACUCAUAACCAUAAGAUAAUUAAAACGGGGGGGGGCAGGGUAAAAAAAAAACCCUUUUAUCAGCCAUAGGUUAAUGCAAGUGUUUAACAGAUGCUUCGCUAUUAAAAUAUUUCCCCCCAAUACUGAAGAAUCUUAAACCAGGCUAGAGCGCCAGCGCUCCUCUGACCCGGCACACUUUGGCAAAGUUGCAGUGGCCUGUUUGCUUAGGCACUGAAGUGGAUGACCCAAGUUAGGAUGACAACUUGCAGAGAACGCGGAUGAGACCUUCAGUUUGUGCCCACACUCAUUUGCAGCAACCCUAACAGAGAUUGCGAAGAUUUUCAAAGUGGGGCACCUCGAUUUCUCGAAUCUGUGGUGUGGCGAAUAUCCGUGUUCCUCCUGCUUAACUAGCCUGUUUGCAUCUUUUGACACAUUUUACUUCCGUAAUUUCGGACUGCCAGAAGGCACAGUUCAUUCUCGAGCAAUUCGUCACCUCCUGGGGGUCUUCUCUUCCCGUCUACAGGAGAGUGUGACUUCAGAAAGAACUUCGGAUUGGCCAAGGCAGGUCUGAUUCUAUUUAUUCUAAAGACAGAGUUGGAGAUGGGCUACCAUUGGUGUUGAUUGAGAUGACAAGCAGUCACCUGAGCCCAUACAGCUGGGUUCACAGAUGUGGCUAGUCUUGCUAGCCAGCUCGCACUGUGGACAUUCUAGGGAACUGACUGCAGUCCUCAUGCUUGGAGUCAAACACUUUAACCACUGCACACGUUUAUGUAAUAGGAUUGACAUAUGAGAAUCAGAGAAAUGAAUGAAAGAUUAGAGUGGGAGAAAGUGCUUGCUGCCAAGCUUGAUGACCUAAAUUGAAUACCUGGAACCUACACGACAGAAAGAGAGAGCUGACUGCUGAAAGAUGUCCUCAGAUCUUCACAUGUGCACAGUGGCACCUAUCCAACCAUGCACAUAGUAUAUUAAAAAUUAUUUUUUAAAAAAUCCA
rnacentral:lncRNA from 1 species